rnacentral:rRNA from 1 species
CAGCAGCCGCGGUAAUACGGAGGGUGCAAGCGUUAAUCGGAAUUACUGGGCGUAAAGCGCACGCAGGCGGUCUGACAAGUCAGAUGUGAAAUCCCCGGGCUUAACCUGGGAACUGCAUUUGAAACUGUCAGGCUGGAGUCUUGUAGAGGGGGGUGGAAUUCCAGGUGUAGCGGUGAAAUGCGUAGAGAUCUGGAGGAAUACCGGUGGCGAAGGCGGCCCCCUGGACAAAGACUGACGCUCAGGUGCGAAAGCGUGGGGAGCAAACAGGAUUAGAGACCCGAGUAGUCCCUGUCUCUUAUAC